rnacentral:rRNA from 1 species
CCCUUAGAUGCUCUGGGCCGCACGCGCGCUACACUGGUCGAUGCAACGAGUUUCUUUCCUCGGCCGACAGGCCUGGGCAAUCUUUGAACAUCGAUCGUGAUCGGGAUAGAUUCUUGUAAUUUUUGAUCUUAAACGAGGAAUUCCUAGUAAACGCAAGUCAUCAGCUUGCAUUGAUUACGUCCCUGCCCUUUGUACACACCGCCCGUCGCACCUACCGAUUGAAUGGUCCGGUGAAAUCUCCGGACUGGCGUGAGUCGGAGCAAUCUGACAAACACCGGAAAGUUGAUUAAACCUUACCAUUUAGAGGAAGGUGAAGUCGUAACA